GACGAACGCUGGCGGCGUGCUUAACACAUGCAAGUCGAACGGAAAGGCCCUGCUUUUGUGGGGUGCUCGAGUGGCGAACGGGUGAGUAACACGUGAGUAACCUGCCCUUGACUUUGGGAUAACUUCAGGAAACUGGGGCUAAUACCGGAUAGGAGCUCCUGCUGCUUGGUGGGGGUUGGAAAGUUUCGGCGGUUGGGGAUGGACUCGCGGCUUAUCAGCUUGUAGGUGGGGUAGUGGCUUACCAAGGCUUUGACGGGUAGCCGGCCUGAGAGGGUGACCGGCCACAUUGGGACUGAGAUACGGCCCAGACUCAUACGGGAGGCAGCAGUGGGGAAUAUUGCACAAUGGGCGGAAGCAUGAUGCAGCAACGCCGCGUGCGGGAUGACGGCCUUCGGGUUGUAAACCGCUUUCGCCUGUGACGAAGCGUGAGUGACGGUAAUGGGUAAAGAAGCACCGGCUAACUACGUG
rnacentral:rRNA from 1 species